AAAUUGAAGAGUUUGAUCAUGGCUCAGAUUGAACGCUGGCGGCAGGCCUAACACAUGCAAGUCGAGCGGUAGCACAGAGGAGCUUGCUCCUCGGGUGACGAGCGGCGGACGGGUGAGUAAUGUCUGGGAAACUGCCUGAUGGAGGGGGAUAACUACUGGAAACGGUAGCUAAUACCGCAUAACGUCGCAAGACCAAAGAGGGGGACCUUCGGGCCUCUUGCCAUCAGAUGUGCCCAGAUGGGAUUAGCUAGUAGGUGGGGUAACGGCUCACCUAGGCGACGAUCCCUAGCUGGUCUGAGAGGAUGACCAGCCACACUGGAACUGAGACACGGUCCAGACUCCUACGGGAGGCAGCAGUGGGGAAUAUUGCACAAUGGGCGCAAGCCUGAUGCAGCCAUGCCGCGUGUAUGAAGAAGGCCUUCGGGUUGUAAAGUACUUUCAGCGGGGAGGAAGGUGUUGAGG
rnacentral:rRNA from 1 species